GCCUUUGCAUUCACUCACCACUCACUGACUCAACAAGAGCAACUUCCAGGCCUGCAAGCUCCAUUCAUGCUCACAGUUCUGCAGGCUGUGCAGGAAGAAUCGUGCUGGCUUCUGCUUCUGAUAGGGGCCUCAGGAAGCUUCCAAUCAUAGUGGAAGGUGAAGAGGAACCAGUGUAUCACAAGCACCUGGGCAGCAUCUGACCCCUCAGUGGAGGCAGUGGUGUGUCACAGGUGUUAAUGUUCAAAGCUUGGCACUGGUGGUUGCAUCAAAGGAAAGAGACCAGAAACUGUAGCAGCACAACAGGGAGCCAUCCAUGCCCCAUGAGGAUGGGAAGAGG